GAACCAAUAAGGAGCUUGCUCUUUUGACGUUAGCGGCGGACGGGUGAGUAACACGUGGGUAACCUACCUAUAAGACUGGAAUAACUCCGGGAAACCGGGGCUAAUGCCGGAUAACAUUUAGAACCGCAUGGUUCUAAAGUGAAAGAUGGUUUUGCUAUCACUUAUAGAUGGACCCGCGCCGUAUUAGCUAGUUGGUAAGGUAACGGCUUACCAAGGCAACGAUACGUAGCCGACCUGAGAGGGUGAUCGGCCACACUGGAACUGAGACACGGUCCAG
rnacentral:rRNA from 1 species